rnacentral:lncRNA from 1 species
AGAGCUGCACACAAGGUUUGAAUGAGAGUUAACAGUUGGAGAAGGAGUAAUUAUAAGUAAAGAUUCGUCAUCAACUUUCUAGGUGGCAGUCAAGAGACAUCAGUGUGGAUUUACGAUGUUUUCUUACAAUCUGUAAGUUAGAUUGGAUUGAAAUUUCUUGAAUAUUUAGAAGACUUGCAAAGACACUAGUGGUAGAAGUUUUACAACAGUUGAACGAACA